rnacentral:rRNA from 1 species
GAUGAACGCUAGCGGCAGGCCUAAUACAUGCAAGUCGAACGGUAAAUAUUGUAGCAAUACGAUAUGAGAGUGACGUACGGGUGCGUAACACGUAUGCAACCUACCCAAAACUGGAGUAUAGCUCGGGGAAACCCGAAUUAACCCUUCAUAGUAUCACUGGAUGGCAUCAUUUGGUGAUUAAAACUCAGGUGGUUUUGGAUGGGCAUGCGUCUGAUUAGCUAGUUGGCGGGGUAAAGGCCCAACAAGGCGAUGAUCAGUAGGGGAACUGAGAGGUUGGUCCCCCACCCUGGCACGAGGGUACGGGCCAGACUCCUACGGGAGGCAGCAGUAGGGAAUAUUGGUCAAUGUAUGCAAGUCUGAACCAGCCAUGCCGCGUGCAGGAAGAAGGCCUUCUGGGUUGUAAACUGCUUUUGCCAGAGGAUAAAAUGGGCGUGCGCGCCUAAUUGAAGGUACCUGGUGAAUAAGCCGCGGCUAACUACGUGCCAGCCGCCGCCGUAA